GUUUCUACUCCUUUGUUGCCAAGGUUUUUAUUCUACACUGCAAGGUGAAACUUAGCUAUAGGUAGAGGUUGUGUCCAGCAGUGGGCUUAAUGCCUGUAUCUAGAGCUUUCAAAGUUUGGAUGGAUAACUUGGACAAAGUAUCCAGUGGUGUCAAAAGAGACUUUCUUCUAGAUGCUUUGAUAGAAUUUGGGCCAGGAGCAAAAUUAAUUUCAGAAGCCCUUUAGAUCUUAAACAUCCUUCAAAAAGU